GUUAAAUUUUAUGGAAAUUUGGAUUUUUUUUAUUUCAGUAGAAAGAUAAAUGAACAUUUCAGUUCCAAAAAAUUUAGAAAUUCCUGGCUAUUAUUUGUGUAUUCAGACUUUAAGGGGUUAAACUUUAUUGUGAAAAGAUUUGAGACUUUUCUCUAAUAUUAUUAUGACUUUAUUCUCUGAAUCUUUCAUACCCUGAGGCUCUGUCACAGAAAUCUGGAUCUAGGAUGUUUUUGGGAUCUUUUUGUGGGAUCAGGAAUCUUGAAUGUGAGGAAAAAUCAUUUUUUAAUUUCAAUUCUUCACGCAAGUAAAAAAGCAGGGUUUAAAGAUGUUUUCUAAUAGAAGCCGUAUGUUUGAGGAAUUAAAAAACAGCUUUUAGUGUUGAUGGCUCUGUCUUUCCCAUCCGAGGGAAAACAAACAAGCAUUUAUAUCAGGAAAUGAGUGAGGCUGAGGCUUAGCCAUUUAAAAAUAAGUACUGUAGGGCUUUAUAAAGUUUUAACUUUAUAAAGUUAGAAUUCAAUCAUAUUUGGGGCUCAAACGCCAAGAGAACACUCUGGAGGAAGAGUUGAGCUGUGACGCACAAAUCAGCUUUUCCCCAGAGACAUGUAAAGGUGUGUUUUUGUGGACGUUUCCUCAGAGACAUGUAAAGGUGUGUUUUUGUGGACGUUUCCUCAGAGACAUGUAAAGGUGUGUUUUUGUGGACUUUUCCUCAGAGACAUGUAAAGGUGUGUUUUUGUGGACUUUUCCUCAGAGACAUGUAAAGGUGUGCUUUUGUGGACUUUUCCUCAGAGACAUGUAAAGGUGUGUUUUUGUGGACUUUUCCUCAGAGACAUGUAAAGGUGUGUUUUUGUGGACUUUUCCUCAGAGACAUGUAAAGGUGUGUUUUUGUGGACUUUUCCUCAGAGACAUGUAAAGGUGUGUUUUUGUGGACUUUUCCUCAGAGACAUGUAAAGGUGUGUUUUUGUGGACUGUACUCUCACUGGCUGAGGGUUUAAAGGUCAGAUGUCUGUGUGUGAAAACGAAGCGUUUCUGAAUCGUCUGAUGUGUUUUUAUUCACUUAGUGCCAAAUAUUUAGAAAUGAGACAUUCAGGAAGAGUUACAUCAACAAUACUACAUCAUAAAUGAUUAUAUAUUACUUAUAUUUUAAUAGAACAAUGCAUGAAUUAAUACUUUGCAUUUAAAGCUGUGUUUAUUCAUACAUGGACAAAGGAGUCAGUUGUAGCGACUGUCUAUGUUUACAUGCAGAUGAGGAAAGUUGAAGUAUUGUGUUAGUCUGACUUAAACUAGACUUCUAAAAUGCCUGUAAACAUGUAAGUCUGUUCUGAGCACGCUCCACAGCCUCUGCACUGAGCUGACCUGGAAGUUGGACUGCAUGCAAGCUAAGCAUAGCAGACAGUAGUCCGGCUAAACUGCCUACGUGAGCUACAGCUGUAGCUCUUCAUUCCUAUGCAUGCUAACUCGUUCACUAAGAAGCUUUUAGCCACUAGUUUCUAUAUUAAGGCUGAAAAUAAAGCCGGGUGUUAAUCUCAGGAGUUUGUGACCAAAAAAAAGCGAAAUAUUUGACUUAUAUUCACGAGACGGACACAAACGCCACUCCACUGAGGAGCUCCCACAGCUUGUGUAAAUGAAACCACCUCUGUUCUGCAGAGAGCAUUUUAGCAGCUUUAAAUGAAACUAAAAGAGGAUCAAGUUUGUUUGUCUUUGUUUUAUGAGGUGAAAUUGACUGCAAUAUUUCUGGGAGGUAACCCCCUUUAAUUUGAAUUCACUUUUAUGAAUAUUAACCCCUAGAUAAGCUCUUGUGUGUUUGUAAUGUGAUAAAAUGUUGUGAAAUGUUGUACUGAGCUUGAUUUAGACUGCACAGCUUUCCAAAUGUGGAAAUGUGACACUGUGUGUGUGACGGCACUUAUAAUGUAUGUUAUUUUUUAUUAUUACACUGUACUGUAUUCAUGUUAAAUGUCUAAUAAAUAAUCAUCUGCUUUGAAAACAGUGAAAAUUAAACCUUAAACGAAGCUCAAAGUUGAGUUUUAUAAGAAUCGUGAGAGAUGAUGGGAAGCAUAGAUGAACAAGUUUGCUCCUGUAAGGAUAAAGCUGUAUAUCUCUGAGUGUUGAUAACGCUUUUACAAUUAAAUCAAUUAACCAAGUAUUCGUUAAGUGGUUUGGAUGAUGCAUAUUUGCCGUUUUCGGCUUUUUUUAGGAAGCUAAGUUUAAGGAUCUGAUUUUUACAGCGUUUUCUCAGUUAUUGUGCAAGAUGUUUUGUUAUAUCAGAAGUUAAAAUAAAUGACUGCUCAUCUAUUUAA